GAUUAACGCUGGCGGCGUGCAUAACACAUGCAAGUCGAACGAUGAAACUUUAAUGAACCCUUCGGGGAGAAUUAAAGCGGAUUAGUGGCGAACGGGUGAGUAACGCGUGAGUAACCUGCCUUACACAAGGGGAUAGCCUUUGGAAACGAAGAAUAAUACCCUAUAAAACCAUAAAAGCACAUGCAAUUAUGGUCAAAGUGAUAGCGGUGUAAGAUGGACUUGCGUCUGAUUAGCUAGUUGGUGAGAUAAAAGCCCACCAAGGCAACGAUCAGUAGCCGGCUUGAGAGAGUGUACGGCCACAUUGGGACUGAGACACGGCCCAGACUCCGACGGGAGGCAGCAGUGGGGAAUUUUGCACAAUGGGGGAAACCCUGAGGCAGCGACGCCGCGUGAUUUAGAAGGCCUUCGGGUUGUAAAAAUCUUUUGUAUAGGAAGAAAAUGACAGUACUAUACGAAUAAGGUCCGGCUAAUUACGUG
rnacentral:rRNA from 1 species